AGAGUCUGAGAUGGGACCCAGGAACAUCACCAUGAAGCUGUCCAGGAUGGAUGUGGGACCCUCUGUCAGACCAGGCCAGUUCUCUUAAUGUAAGAUCAGCAGGCCAAGGUCCUGGGAUAUGGGAGCUCCCAGGAAGUGGACUGGGAUGCCUGAGGGAUCCAAGAAUUAGCAGUGUCCUGUGUGGUCUCGCUGAGGGAAGCCAGGCAAAAUCUAGCGGCUCAGCUGUAACAGCCGGAGCUCUUGGCUCCCAAGCAACAGGAAACAAUUCUGGCUUAUUUAAGCAGAAAAGGACUUUAUCAAAAGGAUCUUGGGGAACUCACAAAAUAACCAAGAGGGCUGAAGAAUACAGUUGGUGAGUCGACCAAGGAGGCUGCACAGCAGUCAGGACCACAGCCAAAGUCAGGCAAUCCAGGGAUGACCUCGCUGCCAAAUCCAGGACUCCCUGGCAUACACUGCCACCUUGGGACGUGGAUAUGGUCCCUGUCGCCCCAGGAACUGGAAUGCCAUUGACUUGGCGACUGCCACCAUCCACCAGAAUGGACUUCUGUGCUCCUUGCAUCUCUGUAUUAUUAGUUCCCAACUCCAAGCCUUUGAUGGGGGCAUCUGAUGGAUUGAGCCUAAGCUGCAGUGAAAGACAGUGAAGGAAUUAUCCAGGGAAUCACUAGGAGAAUGGAGACCACAUGGAAAGGAGUUUAAAAUCACAUUUGGAAAAGUAGACCCUUUAUGCAAAAGAACAGACACUGAGAGAAACAGCAACAGAGAUGGAUGGAUUAAAAACGGCAAGUUCUAUCAUCGCCACCCCCCCGCCCCGCCACAUACUUUUCUCUCUUUUCAGGAUUCUGAUGGUGCCUGUUGGCUGCUUCCGUGAUGUCUGGAGUUGCAAAAUGUGCCAGAAAGCAGAAGGAUACACCGCUAUUCAGAGAGGAUUUUCUUAGGGACUUGAAGAAAUUGACCUCAAAAUUUCAGUAGAUGAGAGGACUGUGGCUGGCCUGUGUCUUUGGCACUGGGUACAUUCUGUCAUUCUUGUUGUACCUACAUAAGAGAAUUUAACUCUGGGUUCUCCCUGACUAAUUCCAGAGGAAGUAAAUGGGUAGACCUUUAACACUUCUGUGCCAGAAGUGGGACAGAAGGGACCUUGGAGGGCAUCUAGUCCAACCUUGCCAGCUGAGAAGCAGGAUUACCUGGUGGUUGGGAGCACAGACUUGAAGCCACAUAGCCCCAGUUUGAAACUGACUCCACCGCUUACUAGCAGUAUGACCUUGGACAAGUUACUAACCUCUGCCUCAGUUUCCUCAUCUGUAAGUUGUUGGAGCCCAAUGAAAAAUUCUACAUUGAAGACUAAGGGAAAAAGAGGUUUCAUUAUAGAGCUGGGACUGAUUGCAUUUUCAAAAGGUGGCUGCAACAAUAUCCCACACACUUUUCUGCUGUAUAAUCUGCCACUUCUCCAUCAAGUAGAGGAGACAAUUUCUCCCCUCCUUUGAAUCUGAGUGAGUUCUGUGACUGUUUUGACUGAUAGAAUGAUGUGGAAGACAGACUGUGUGACCUGAAAGGUGAGGUCACAGAAAGCCUUGCAACUUCCACCUGGCCUGUGAAGAACACUUGCUCUUGGGAUACUCCUUCUUGGAACCCAGCCACCAUGCUGUAAGAAGCCCAAUCUACAUGCAGACACCACAUAUAAGGCAUCGUAGUCAACAGCCACAGUUAAGUUCCCAGCCGGCAGCCAACAUCAACUACCAGUCUUGUGAGUGAGCUAUCUUGGACAUCCAGCUUGGUUAAACCUUCAGAUGACUCCAGCCCCAGCUGACACCUGACUGCAACCACAUGAGAAACCAGGAAUGAAAAUCCACCAGCUGAGCCCAGUCAACUCAUAGAACUGUGAGAGAUAAUAAUAAGUUGUGGUACUAAGCCACUAGGAUUGGGGCACCAUGCAAUAAUAGGUAACCAAGACAGUAGCAACUUUGGUUAGACACAUGAGCCAUGGGAUGACACAUAAUUAGGUAUAUUUUUAAAAACUUGGAUUCAGCUUUAGGGCAAUGUGUCCCUAACAUAGAGAGGCACUAUUUCAGUUCACAUCUGCUGCCUCUGAUCAAAACACUCUCUUGCACUUCCAGAGAGAGAGAGAGAGAGAGCAAAUGUGUGUAUUUACUGACAGGUGUCCCUUUGUGUCCCCAUCUGUGUGACUGUGGAGCUCAGUGUCUCUCACACAUUCUAGUAUGAUACUUGGUGCCAUAUUUGCAGGUCCUGAGGUAAGAACCCAUGCUGUUGUCUUCAGAGAGUUUCAUGGGUUGGACUGUGCCAUAUAUGGGCAAAAAUCCACCCACACGUUUUCUUUUAAUCACCUUUAUGGAUGUAUAAUUUACAUAUAUACUUUUUUCUUAUUACUUUUUAUUUAUGUAAUUUAUUCAUUUUUUGAGAUAGGGUCUCACUCUCUUGCCCAGGCUGGAGUGCAGUGGAGUGAUCAUGGCUCACUGCAGCCUUGACCUCCUGGGCUUAAGCAAUCCUCCCACUUCAGCCACCUGAGUAGCUGGGACCACAGGCACACACCACCACUCCUGGCUAAUUUAAAAAGUUGUUUUUUUUUUUUUUUUUGUAGAGACAGGGUCUCACUAUGUUGUCAAGGCUGGUCUCAAACUCCUGGGCUCAAGCGAUCCUAGUGCCUCAGCCUUCCAAAGUUCCGGGAUUACAAGCAUGAGCCACCAUGCCUGGCAUCUUUUGUGGAUGUGUAAUUUACAUACGUACAAUAAUAUGUACCUAUUUUAAGUAUACAGUUUGAUGAGCUUUGACGAAUGUAGCCCACGAAACCACCACCAUAAUCGAAGUAUAGAACUUUUUUUUUUUUUUUUUUUGAGACGAAGUCUCUCUCUUGUCACCCAGGCUGGAGUGCAAUGGCAUGAUCCCGGCUCACUGAAACUUCCGCCUCCCAGGUUCAAGCGAUUCUCCUGCCUCAGCCUCCUGAGUAGCUGGGAUUACAGGCACCUGCCACCACGCCCAGCUAAUUUUUGUAUUUUUAGUAGAGACAGGGUUUCACCAUGCUGGCCAGGCUGGUCUCGAGCUCCUGACCUCAGGUGAUCCCCCCUCCUCGGCCUCCCAAAGUGCUGGGAUUACAGGCAUGAGCCACUGCGCCCGGCCUAUAGAACAUUUUAAUCACCCCAGAGAUGUGCCCCCUGUGCAGCCAGUUCCCUCCUCUCACCCCCCAGCCCCUGGCAAGCAUUGAUUUGCUUUGCCACUAUCAAUCAAUUUUUGUCUUUUCUGGUAUUUCAUAUGAAUGGAAUCAUAUAGGAUAGAUUUUUAUGUGACUACACACUAUUUUAGCAUAAUAUUUUUGAAGUUCUUCCAUGUUGUUGUGUAUAUCUAUAGUUAAUUUCUUUUUCUCACUGAAUUGUAUACCACUGUAUGAUGUAUCACAAUUUGUUUAUUCAUUCUCCCGUUGCUGGACAUUUGGACUGUUUAUUGUUUGGGGCUACUAUGAAUAAAACUGCUAUGGAUGUUUAUGUACAAGAU
rnacentral:lncRNA from 1 species